CGGCCCAAGCAGAGAGGGCCCCUUCUGAGCCUGGGCCUGGUGCCAUGGCGCCACAGGCGCCAUUGUAAACCCUGCACUGUGACAGUGCAUGCUGCCUGGGAACCUCUGCACACGUAGCCUCAGGGAAGGCAGAGGAGGCCUCAGAGCAAGGGACAAGAGCAGAGUGGGGACCAAGUGGCUUGCCUGCAGGGAGGGAAGAGCGGCAGAGCUCCCAGCUCAGCAUGUCUGGGUGAGGGAUGACUCCCAACAUCCCAGUGGCUAGGAGCCACAUCCUGCCUGCCAGCUUUGCUCCCUGCUGUGGGCAAGCUCUGCACAGUAACAAAGAGGAGCCAGAACCAGAGCUACCACGAGAGGAGCAGGAACAGGGAGUGUGCUUGGCCAGGCAGUAAUAGCUCUUCAGGUUGCUGUGAAAUACCUAGGUGGGGCUCCUGCACCCAAGGCUGCACUGUGCACAUGGCAGUCGAGGGCGCCAAAGCAAGACUUCAAGAAGGACACCUGCAAUUCAAUCAAUAGUUUGUCAGAGACAGCAGAGGACUGAGAGCAGCUGGGUAGCAGAUCAGAUAUGGUACUUCUGGGUAGGAGUGGCAGAUCGUCCUACUCUGGCCAGUGAUCCUUGGAUGUGGCUGGAAACAUGUUUGGACCUUCCUGGGAGUGGAAUUAAUUCCUUUCAGCCCAGACCCCCU